UGGGCGAAACCAGCUACAUCAUUUACAUGAACUAGGUUUAAUCAAUUUACUUGACCCGUGUUCAGAAUUUUAAAUUUGUUUUGUAGAAUAGUGUCAUUUCAACUGACUUGAGGCAGUGCAUCUUCCGGGUUCAAUAACCAAUGUGUGCACCUAAGCCAUAAAGUGAUUAAAAAUUGCCAUGCAAUGCAUUGUCAUCCGUGCGUUUUAAUUUUCCUUGUCGUUGUAAUAAUAGGUCGAAUAAUGUGUCAUGUCAUUUAAAAAUGGCAUGAAAUAGUAUUCAUGAACAUGAAAAGCUGGACUUAUGUUAUGUUCGAGCAAAUGUUUGUUAGUAGGCCUAACAUAUUUGAUCCAGGUUUUUUUUGCAGUUUUUUUUGCAGGAUCAACUCAGGCUUACAGUGUAUACAUCAACCGCUUAUUAAUAUUAGCCUGUUGAGGAUAUAUAUUUUUUAUUAUUAUAAUACAUAUAUAAAUGACAUAUUUGUCAAUAAUUCCCUGCUGCACUACAUUUUUGCGAGGCCAGUGAAAAUGUACAUUUUUGGCAUUUAGACAUGUUCUCUAAGUAUCACCUGUAUCACCUAACACCAUAUUUGCAAUUAAAACCCAGCAUAUUUGUUUUUUUAUUUUGAAUAAUGAUCAUUUAGGGACAGUGUCGUCGACACUAAAAUAUACAUGAGGUUGUAUGCAUGUUUGUGUUUAUUUGAUAAAUGGCAAAGCAUUGUUAGCCUGAAAAAGUUAUCUUGAUUAAUUAAAAUACACAUUCGAAAUAUCCUAAUUUCCGUGGAUAAAGUAAAUAUUUUCUGAUCAACAAUUGGUUUUAGUUAUUUUAUAUGAAUACACAAAUUGGACCGUGUUUUUUGGUCCUGCUAUUUCAAUGAAAAUAAACAUUUCGUCAUUGCAACGGCACAUCAACAUAAGGCAGUGUACGAAUGAACCUGCUCUUACAUUUGGCCGACAUUAUACCACUUUAAGGUGCAAUUAAAUGUUUCAUUCGUUUCUUACUUCGUCAUGUGUCAUAUUAGUGAUCAGUAUUUAGUGAUCUUGCUACAGAAGGAGAAGUAUAUUGACAAAAGGAAAAAGAUUAACACCUUAUGGAGAACAUUAAUGAUUUGCCUUGUAUAUACCCAAAGAACUAAUUAUAUGAACAAAGGUCUAAAUUAGGCUCAAUUUUUUUUCUCGAGGCCCUGGAUGUACACAUUAUCUAAAUGGGAAAGAAAGCAAUCAAACGUAGUAGGCUAUAUCACAGUAGGCUACUUGCUUGACUUAACCGACGUUCAUGCCAGGCGCUUUUCUCGCACAAAAGUUACCGGUUUUUUAAAUUUGUUUUUUUUUAGUUUUUAUUUUUUAUUUUUUAUAGCUAACCUAAUGUUAACAACGGAGUGUUGAUCUUUUUUUCCAGCGAAGGGAACGAUUUAAUUAAACUUCCUAUGUAAGGUUAAUCAACUUUUUCUGGGGUAAAUGUGGCCGUUGCCUGUUGUUCAUUGAAUUCAUUCUCGGUGCUUUGGAGUUCAGGUAAUGUGUAUAAUAUUUGUUGUGCGAUAUUGACGAAGAAGAAGAUUGUUGACAGAGAGUGGAAUGCAUAUAGGCCUACUACAGUGUUUGUAACUGUAAAACAAGAGGCACGGCUCGGUAGAUACAAAAUACGUCACUGGAAUGGCCUGUGAAAACAACUUGCAAAAACUGUAGGUGCAUUAAAACACGGACCAGUGCACGGUACCAAAAGAAGAGUAAAGUGACCCACGCGCCACUAAUGGCGCUGGCGCUGUAACAUAAAAACACAGGGGAAGGCUAUCUUAAUGCAGAUUUGUCCUUGUAUUAUUGUUUUUUCUUUCUCCUUUGCAUUGUUACUUUUCAUCUCUUCAUCAGGUCUUCCAAUCUCUUUGCAUCAUCUCCCCUACUAUAUUUAUCCUGUAGACAGAGGCCUUGGCGCCAGACCGUUUAAGACCUGUCAAAGUCCUUCAUAUUUCCCCGUCACAUGUAUACCCUAAGACUCUACUAGCCCUACCAGCCCCCUCACCCUCCUCUCCUCCUCAUUCACCCUUUUUGCACUGCCCCCGCCCCUGGCUCUUCUCUCCCCCAGCCUGCUUAUAGUCAUCCAUGUUUCCCCUUCUCUCAUUAAUCCUUCGGUUCACCUCUGUGUUUGCGAACCGGUACAAUUUGCUCUUCUUUGUGGCUGUGUUGUCUCAGUGACCCAAAUCAGCGGGGCUGCCGCUGCCGUGUCCUUGCCGGUUGAACAAAUUGCAACUGAUUGAUGAAAAAUAACAAUUCUCCCAAACAGCAAGAGCUGAAACUGCGAACGCUCCCCUCCCGUUCGGCUACUGCCUUUCACACGCGUUAUGCAGGUUCAGUGAAUGCCAAUCUCAUACCCAUAUAGUAGACUCUCUCUCUCUCUCUCUCUCUCUCUCUCUCUCUCUCUCUCUCUCUCUCUCUCUCACUCCCAAUUAAUUUUAAAAAUAAGUUAAAAUAUUUAAAAUGUGAUACCUCUAGCGGUCUACAAAAAAACCUGUUGAAACCGCGCGUCAUAUAGGCAUGUUUCUGCAGGUAUCAGGUGGGGGCGCUAAAAUGUGUCUUUGGGGACUGAAGAAGGUACUCGUUGCCCGAGCCAGCGUUGACAAUCAUAAUCGUGCCGGAGAGAGCGAUGAAGCCCUAGACAGGAAGUUGUCAAAUGAAGGAUGCUGUCCUCCUCCCAUCAAAAACUAGAGUGGGCGGUGCCCCUGCAGCGACCGAGCUGACCAGUUUUAGGGAGAACGUGUGCGUGCAGGCACAGAGGACCGACAUCCCUUUCUAAAAGGAGAGCCCUCCCCAGUGCCCUCAUUCACAGCCAGAGGAGGCGAAGCGAGGCUCAUAACAGUGAUGUUCGCUAACCCUCUUUCUUUUAUUGCCGCGCAGUAGAGAUCUGUUAGCGUCUAUCCGCCUGGCUCUGCGACGUCUACGCUUCUCACACAGGAGGUCUUCCGGCCACACUGGAGCACACACACACACACACGAGCUUAAAACAAAAGCUCCUUUUAGCAGUGCUCUCUGUCUUAAGGGUCACAUGACUAGCAUCGCCCCCGCGGCGGUACAGGAAGGUUUGGGAGGGCGUUAGCAAACUGCAUUGUAACGGAACCAUUGACCCGGGGUCAUUUUCCAUAAAAUGAAUUUGCUGGAAGUGGUGGGGUGAGGAUCACGUUGGGUUGAGAUAGAUGGGCCUCGAUGAAUGCUUAGAAGAACCUCUCAAAGAUGGCAGUACAGGAGGGGGGUGUGGUUUACGGAAAAAGAGGCGGAGUUUGAGGGUAAGUCUCAGAGGGAAGAAUUAAUGAGCAGACCUGUAGCCGCUUCUCAAUUUUAGAACUGAGGGGGGAGAGAGUUUCUUCCUUACAGAUACUGUAUCCGUACACUCGUCCCAUUGUGAAAAUGCCCUUUGUCAGUUUAGGAGGCAUAAACUAGUGUGUGUGUCCUCCAAAACAUGCACUCAGCAAACUGCUCCUUGUCUUUCCGACCUGCCAGCCCAUGCCAUCAAAACUACUGCAAUAGAGGCAGUUCGAGGCAGUUUGACUGCGAUUAGUUGGCUGGGGGAGCUGCUGUGGAGCGGUGAGUUCCGGGUAAACCUUGCAGAAUUAAUCCGUCCACCCCCGAGUAAUGCCAUAAGCACCUGUCCAUCGCCACACCAGCAGCCCGGGCUGUUUGGGCUACAAUCAGUUUUUCCUCUUUUAAUCACUAUACAGAGCAGUUAUUGGUGUUUGUUAUUAAAUGACUUCUGAAGGCUUCCUUAAUGUUUUUACUGUGGCCUUCUUGACAUGACUAGUACAUGAAAGGUAUACCGCUUCAUUUUAGUCGCUUAUGGACUCGACGCAAAUAGGACCCUCAUGUUUCCUGAAGCCUACGAGGAUAGGCUGCAGGAAGUGGAGCAAAAUAAGACACUUUAUAUUCUGUUUCUUUUGAAUAAUUAAAAAAUACAAUUCUUAAAAAAUGUGAAA